UGUGUUUUGUUUUUAGAGAUCUGUGUAAAUUUAUGAUUAACAACCGAAAUUACAAUACUUGAACAAAUGUUAAUUUUUGACAAAAUUACGCUGCAUCUUCCAUAUAAUGGUUCAACUAAAUCUAGUAAGUUUCACAUCAUCAUUUUCAAUAUUUAGGUUUUAAAAAGGUAAGGAAAGGUUUUUUUACCUGAGUUUUAAUAUCUCAAACCAUUAAUUAACAGAGUUUGAUAAAAUAAAUAAAAUAAUUUCUGUAUAUGAAAAAUAUAUAGAAUUUGUUAAGUAUACAGGUUUUGACCUGGGCUUCUGUGAAUGGAUUGUGGAUGGUAUUAAAACUAGUUUAUCUUUUAAAAUAAAAUCCUUUAAAAGGACAUAUACAGUAGGUGUAACGUGAUUUGGAAUGAAUACACACUUGCAGGAUUUUUCACAUAAAUCUCAUCUGGUACCUCCAUGAUUUCCUGUAGGAUGCCUGUUAGAAAAACUGAAGAACUGAAAGAAGAAACUUUUAAACUUGAUGUUGGGAACUGUAGAAGUUACUGUUAUACAUAGUAUCAUAUCAAGGCUCCAGUUCUCUAUGCUUGUUAGUUAUAUGCAAGAUAUGGCAUAGUAUAGCACACUGCAUGUGUAAAAAUGGAUGAAAGCACUAAAGAAGCAAAACGAUACAAAUUAAAGAAGAAUUUUGUCAUGCGAUCACGGUUGCAAUAUGAGAACUACCGUAACAGAAUAUAUUUAUUGUCGAACAGUUUUGAAUCAAUUCAUUGUAUGAUGAUAGUUUUUUGUUGCUUAAAAAUAUUAUGAAAUUCAAA
rnacentral:lncRNA from 1 species